UACCAUGCACGUCGAACGAGAACGGGUUAUAGUUUACUAUAACUGUCAGCUAAGUGGCGCAUCGGUGAGAGUAAUAUAUAGUUAACCUGCCCUCGAGAUCGGAAUAACAGUUGGAAACGACUGCUAAUGCCGGAUAUGCCCUUAAUGCAUAAGUAUGCAGGGGAAGCGCUUUUGUGCUCGAGGAUGGGACUGUACGGUAUCAGCUAGUUGGUGAGGUAAUGGCUCACCAAGGCUAUGACGCCUAACUGGUUUGAGAGGAUGAUCAGUCACACUGGAACUGAGACACGGUCCAGACUCCUACGGGAGGCAGCAGUGGGGAAUAUUGCACAAUGGGCGAAAGCCUGAUGCAGCAACGCCGCGUGGAGGAUGACACAUUUCGGUGCGUAAACUCCUUUUAUAUAGGAAGAUAAUGACGGUACUAUAUGAAUAAGUACCGGCUAACUCCGUGCCAGCAGCCGCGGUAAUACGGAGUGUGCAAGCGUUACUCGGAAUCACUGGGCGUAAAGAGAAUGUAGGCGGGUUAAUAAGUUUGAAGUGAAAUCCAAUGGCUCAACCAUUGAACUGCUUUGAAAACUGUUAACCUAGAAUAUGGGAGAGGUAGAUGGAAUUUCUGGUGUAGGUGUAAAAUCCGUAGAGAUCAGAAGGAAUACCGAUUGCGAAGGCGAUCUACUGGAACAUUAUGACGCUCAGA
rnacentral:rRNA from 1 species